CUUUUUUCACCCUGUGAUGCAGGAGAUGGAACUCAAGGCCUCCAGCAUUCCGGGCAAGUUCUCUACUACUGAGUCAAGCCCCCUUCACCCUCUACCUCCCACCCCAACCUGUAGUCGAUGCCAACCAAUCAAUGCAUAGCUGAGAGAGUGGGAACCCAGGCAUCUUUUGCUGGAAGAAAACGUAGAAGCCCUGAUGGAAACCAGAGGACGGAAUUUGUCACCGAGAGAAAGAUUUACAAGUUGUCUGAUGACCUUGCAGGAGAGACCUGGACCUGAGACUGUGGUGGCUGGGGGACCACACCUUGGCCAGACUACAUGGAAAGAAGCUAUGUAGAGACAGAAAUCUUCAGUACCUAAAAUCCCUUCGCAGGGAAAUGAAUGAAUGAAUGAAUGAAUGGUUACACCUGCAGACCAUUUUGGGGGAGUCUUUCUGGCGUAACAAUAUAAAUGAGUCAGUCAAAUGAACAGAGAUCUUAAUCUGCCCAAAACUGGUGCCGCGGUUCUGGGGAGUUUGGGCUAAGGAUAAACUGGGAGAACUUGCUGCAAGUCCCAGCCCUGCUCUCAGUGAGCGACUACGGCUGCGCGGACAGGCAGGGCUCAGCCGCUUCCGGGAUGGUCGGGAGCCAACGAGACUUCGAGCCUCCGGGUGGGCUAGAGCGGCGCGACAUUCAGGUGUGUGCGGCCAUGGAGGACGAGAAGAGCUUCUCCGAUAUCUGCGGCGGCCGCCUAGCCCUGCGGUGCCGCUACUACUCACCGUACUGCCGCGAGUUCGGCCUCAGCUCGGCUCGGCUGUCGCUGUGCUCGCUCACCGCGGUCACCUGCGCGGUGUGGCUGGCGGCCUACGGGCUCUUCACCCUGUGCGAGGUAAAGGCGGGCGCUCGGCCGGCGCAGGCAGCUUGGAGAGGUCUCGGGGCUGACCCGUGGGUCCGGGAGGGUGGGGACUCCCUGGAUCAGGGUCGCCGUUCCACGGCAGGACUGCCCUCCCUCCCCGAGAAGUUUGUGCUUCUGGACGUUCUACCACAGUGGACCUACUUGCCCUGCUCAUUCAUGGAACAUAACCUCCUCAGAGAACUCAGUGCAUCCUCCCGCAUCACUUACUGGGUACCAAAGCCAACGGAUAGCAGGCGUGCGACAGAAUUACAGAAAAGUUUUUGCCUCCACAACUGUGCAGUACAGAAUCUCCACCUAAUAUCUGUUUCUCAAGGCCAGGUCAACUACCAUCCCCUCUCCCAACCCUUCCCCAGUUUAAGUGCAUUUUCUAAAGUGUUGCCAGGUCUAAGACACGAGGGUUUUCUAUGCUCAGUUUUCAGACUUUCUAAUCUUUUUUCCCCCCGAGCCUCAUUUUUAACAUCUCUAAGUUGAAAUUAAUGGUUCAAAAUAUUGCGAAGGUCAACUGCUAUUAUUUUGUGACAGUUCCCAAGCAAAAAGAGUCAUCCGAUUGGCCUUUGUUCAGGAUGUUCUGUUCUGUUUUAACUCCCUGUAUAGCCCUAAAAUGAAUAUAUUAUUCCAGGAGUGAUCUUAAUAGAGCCAGUACACCAGAACUGUUUAUUUCUGCAAUUUUCAUAUUGUUUGUAUUAAAACAUCCCUUAGCUUUUUUCU